UACGUAGGUCCCGAGCGUUGUCCGGAUUUAUUGGGCGUAAAGCGAGCGCAGGUGGUUUAUUAAGUCUGGUGUAAAAGGCAGUGGCUCAACCAUUGUGUGCAUUGGAAACUGGUAGACUUGAGUGCAGGAGAGGAGAGUGGAAUUCCAUGUGUAGCGGUGAAAUGCGUAGAUAUAUGGAGGAACACCGGUGGCGAAAGCGGCUCUCUGGCCUGUAACUGGCACUGAGGCUCGAAAGCGUGGGGAGCAAACAGG
rnacentral:rRNA from 1 species